rnacentral:rRNA from 1 species
ACGGGAGGCAGCAGUGAGGAAUAUUGGUCAAUGGGCGAGAGCCUGAACCAGCCAAGUAGCGUGAGGGACGACGGCCCUACGGGUUGUAAACCUCUUUUGUUCGGGAAUAAGGAGCCUACGCGUAGGCUUUUGCAUGUACCGUUCGAAUAAGCAUCGGCUAAUUCCGUGCCAGCAGCCGCGGUAAUACGGAAGAUGCGAGCGUUAUCCGGAUUUAUUGGGUUUAAAGGGAGCGUAGGCGGUCCUUUAAGUCAGCGGUCAAAUGUCGGGGCCCAACCCCGGCCUGCCGUUGAUACUGGAGGACUUGAAUACACACAAGGAAGGUGGAAUUCGUCGUGUAGCGGUGAAAUGCUUAGAUAUGACGAAGAACUCCGAUUGCGAAGGCAGCCUUCUGGAGUGCGAUUGACGCUGAGGCUCGAAAGCGCGGGUAUCAAACAGGAUUAGAUACCCUGGUA